UUCCAACAAUGGACACAAUCCGUCGGAAUAUGUUAAGCUUCCAGAAUACGGGACAGAGGCUACAGCAACGGAACAUGAAGAUGAAUAUUCUUCACUCCAACUCUCCAGGUUCCUGCCAGCGCAGUACCUCGCAGGUCCCGGUUUAAGAAGGGGACACAAUGGGGGAACGGUUGAACUAGGGAGGUGGUACCAUCCAUCUUCUGUAAUACAUCUAAAAACAAAACGGAAGCGAAUGUUCCGUUUCCUGGAGCUAACAAAACGCUGCAGCUCUCCCGUCUGCCUCUGUGAACGUGAUUCAAUCUGCGUUUGGUCCGGAGAUGAGAAAAUGCGAGCUUCGUCGGUAUUGCACCCUUCUUGGGGACGUGGUUUAGCAAGGGGAGAAUGGUAAAAAUAAAUACUGGAAAGGAAAAUUUAUUAGUCACAAUUAAUCGUUUACCGGUGUGCUCCGGGAGGGGAGGGUUAAGAAAGCUAAGAAAGCAAACAACCUCGUGGGGUGCUACCACCACAAUCCUCGGACGGUCAUUAGUGAAAGCUGCAAAGUUUACUGGAGGAAGAUAAACAGCAUCGAGCGAACACGGUGCCAAACAAUACGGGAAAGGAUGCAACAAGAAAGAAAGGACACGAGAGAGGAUCAACCCCCGAAGGGCCAAUUGGGCGAACGCGGGCAUCUCACCGACACACAGACACUGGCACACUGUGCCAGAUUGUAGUGUAGUGUAACAACGUUCUUAGCUUGUGGCAUAAAUCCACCAGCACUCUCGCACGGGGGAGGAACUCAAACAAGUGUUACCCAUUUAUAAGACUCGGGAAAACUGCCCCGUUUUUCCUUCCCCAUUGCAUUUGUCUGCUGUUUUGUGGGGAGAAAAUACAACGGUUUUGUUACUGCACUUGGGCAGCGCGCAAGUGCAUCCAGAUGAUGAUGUUGAUGAUGAUGAUUGUGUGCUCGCAUAUCGUGUGUCUUGGCGUUGUUUGCAAGCGCAAGGGAUAAUAUUCUUGUGCCUCUCGUGACAUGCAGCAGUGAUUAGCUUUGGGCGGAGUUUAUGUUUCAAUGUCAGCAACGUUGUCGGGAAUGAAGUGGAACCACGGUUGGGAUGUUGUGCAAGAAAGGUGUAUUUAUGGGUUGUGUGUGUUUUUUAAGAUUAAAAUAAAUCUAUCUUAUGUUUUGUAGUUUGUGCAACACGAUCGCUAAGCUGGCUGUCUGUGGAGGUUUGUUUUGCAUUAGGAAAUCAACACAUCUAUCAAGAAUAUCUGAUAUUAAGGAUCGGAAUGAUCAUUCUUCUUCUUCCUCUUUGGCUCAACAACUGUUUUCGGUCUAGGCCUGCCGGUACCACUUGUGGGCUUGGCUUUCAGUGACUUAUUGAUUUCUCCCCAAAGCAGGAUAGUCAGCCCUACGGAGUGCCGCAACAUGUCAUGAACAUCACGAGAUUUUCACCAACGAAAACAAUGAACAUAUCCGUGGUAGCUUGAUGUGCAUUGCUGAUACUCAAUGAAAGUGCGUCAUGACAUGCCGAAUGCGACGUGCGAGUGCUUGAGUCAAACUCGAUACUCUGACUGACAAGCUGAGCUUAAAACCAGCGCAAACAUAUUAAUGAUUUUUUCUAGCUGUGAACAGUGCUGCCAAAUGCCACUGUUUCAGUCAUCAACACUCAUGAGUGAAAAGAAACUCAAAUCAGAUCACGUACACAGUCAGUACACAGCUCAGAUGAUCAGAGGUAAGACUCAAACAGCUGGUGGACCAAUCACAUGCUUGAUGACAUUUUGAUUAGCACCCAACUCUUGAUCAUUCACUUGGUCACGUCAUUUUGUGUAUAUACUUGGCGUGUGGUUUCCUAGCAGCAAAAUGAGCAUGCUUUGUCUCUCUCUGUCUAGUUUGAUGGUCUGUCGGGUCAAAUAGAGUGAGAAACAAUGCGCAUUUUGUUUCUUGGAAUAACUCGCACGCACCUCAUAUCUCCCAUGACAAUCGCAAUGAUCACCGACUGAAAAUGUCGCGACCAAGUGACUGACCAAGAGUUGGUUGCACACAAUGUCACCAAGCAUGUGAUGGUCGCACCAACUGUUUGAGUAUCACCUCUGAUCAUCACAGUAGAGCUCGUGAAGCUGACAUGAUUUUAUUUCAGCCGUUAUUUGUCAUGACUAUGUCAUUGGCAUAUUGCGGAACUGAUCACAGUAAAAAAAAGUCAUGACAUAGUGACUGACCAAACGGUGGUCGCAAAAAUGUCAUGAAGCAUGUAUUGAUCACACCAACCGAUUUGAGUAUCACCUCUGAUUAUCACGAUUGUGUACAUGACGCUGACAUGGAUUUUGUUUCAGUCAGAUUUUUGUAUGACAUUGACAGUGACAUUUUGCAGCCCUGGUCCUACGUAUGGUGGCACGGUCCAUCCGGGGCUUGAACCCAUGAAAGGCAUGUUGUUAAGUCGAACGAGAUGACGAAUGUACCACGAAUUAACAAAUACAACAAGCCAUAAUAUGCAAGAGAUUGUUCGCCCUAUAAACCCACCAAUAACAGAGGUUAAGGGUGUGAAUACUCACACAAGAGAAUCUCAAUUCCAUCUCAACGCGUCUGAUUAAAUGGCAAGAAACAGAGUAAUGGCCAACAUCGAUCUGAUAAUACAAGAGAUCUGAUAACAAGAUGGCAAAAAGAACAACUGACAGACGAAAAGUCGCGAUGCGGCUUUUGUUACGUCGACAGUUAUUUUGGAGAACUGGGGCAAAGAAUGUAUUAAAAAAAAUGCCGUAAUAAUAAAAAAGUGGUCAACUUGUUUGUUUAAAAUUACAUUUUUUAUCAAAACUACUCAACUGUCUUCUAGCAUUUAAAAACGUAUAUUAAAAACGUUUCUGUCUGUUUAAAGUAAAAUGGGAAAACCCGUUUGAUUGUUACAUACAUUUUAAAUGAGAUGUUUGAUUAGAAAUUCAAAUUGCUAUAUUUUAUGUUCUUUCGAUCGCAGAGGUGGUCGAAUAAAACUCACGCGUUACUAAUAAAUUUACUAACGUAUAUAUUCAAUUUCACUUGGUUACAAUUUGGUGUUGGCUUCGAGCACGCUUCCUUGCUGACCGCUAGUUCUUCAGUGCGCGCUGGUGUUUGGCGGUCAACGUCCGUGACCGCGCAACCGAUGACCCCCGGAUCGAUCACACGCAUACAUUGACGGAUGACGCUUUGCUGUCAUCCACGAUACCCCUCGAGCCUACGCGGAAGUCUUCUAAGCCUAGAAGACCGGCGUGGCGACCGUAUCGGCUGCUGGCGUUUUGUAGUAGCGAACGGGAUUGGGCGUGGAGAUGGUUGUGUGGGUGACGCGCUAGUUUGAUGGUCCGUCAAGGGAACAGAACUCGAUUCCGCUACCGCGCUGUCCGUCAGCAGAUCAAACGGCAAAUGAUCUAUGUCCACGUCCUCGCUGGAAGCCCCCACGACCGAAUCACGUUUUCGCAGCUGGUUCACAUGGCGCCUGUGAACCCGUUGAUUGUUCGUCUGCACCUCGAACAUAACGCUGCCCAUCUCUCGUAUGAUUUGCGCCGGAACCCACUUCCAUGAAUUCCGCGCAUAGAACUUGGCGUAGACGAGGUCACCGCGCUGAAAUCGUCUAUCCAAGUUGGCCGGUUCUGCUUGCGCUGCAGGUGGAGGUUUCAACAGUGCCAACGCUGUUCGCAUUUUUCUGCCUAGCAUGGCUUCAGCUGGCGACUGCAUGUCCAGCAAAAUAGCGUUGGGGGUUGACCGGUAGCUCGCCAGAAAAACGUCAAGCGCUUCGUCCUGCGUUGUUCCCCCUUCCUGGAUCUUCCUCAUCGACCGCUUGAAGGUGUCAACAAAGCGCUCCGCCUGCCCAUUCGAUUGCGGAUGGAAUGGCGCAGUUGUGACGUGCUGUAUACCGCGACUACUGCAAUACUCCGAAAACUCAGCACUGACAAAUUGUGGCCCGUUGUCGCUCACCAUCGUUUCCGGGUAUCCAAAUCUCGCAAAGAUUGACCUCAGUAUCGCGAUCGUUGCUGCUGAUGUGGUAUUUCGCGUUCGUAUCACCUCUGGCCACUUGGUAAACGCGUCUACCACGAUCAGAAAAUAGUCACCAUCGAUUGGCCCAGCGAAAUCGAUGUGAAUACGUUCCCAAGGUUUCUGUGUCGCUGGCCAGGGAACAGGUUUUUCGCGAGGUGAAGUCUUUGCCGCUAUCGCACAAGCAUGGCAUCCCUUUACGUGCUCCGUUAUGUCCUUAUCAACGGAUGGCCAGUACACGUAACUCCGAGCCUUCGACUUCAUUCGCUGGAUACCGGGGUGCCCUUCAUGUAGUUGCUUCAAGCAACGCUGCUGCAGCUUGCUAGGGAUCACCACUCUUUCCCCAAACAAAAUGCAACCACGCACCGUGGUUAGGGCUUCGCUUCUGUGGUAAAAGCAAGCCAGCUCUGCAGCAUAUGCGACAUUUUGGGGCCACCCUUCCAUGAUGUAUCCGUAAACCUUCUUCAGGACAGGGUCGGACUCCGUGGCCUUCGCAACGUCUCUAAAAUUGAGUGGAAAUA